rnacentral:rRNA from 1 species
GUUUGAUGUUCUAACGUGGACCCGUUACCCGGGUUGCGGACAGUGUCUGGUGGGUAGUUUGACUGGGGCGGUCUCCUCCUAAAGAGUAACGGAGGAGCACGAAGGUUGGCUAAUCCUGGUCGGACAUCAGGAGGUUAGUGCAAUGGCAUAAGCCAGCUUGACUGCGAGCGUGACGGCGCGAGCAGGUGCGAAAGCAGGUCAUAGUGAUCCGGUGGUUCUGAAUGGAAGGGCCAUCGCUCAACGGAUAAAAGGUACUCCGGGGAUAACAGGCUGAUACCGCCCAAGAGUUCAUAUCGACGGCGGUGUUUGGCACCUCGAUGUCGGCUCAUCACAUCCUGGGGCUGAAGUAGGUCCCAAGGGUAUGGCUGUUCGCCAUUUAAAGUGGUACGCGAGCUGGGUUUAGAACGUCGUGAGACAGUUCGGUCCCUAUCUGCCGUGGGCGCUGGAGAACUGAGGGGGGCUGCUCCUAGUACGAGAGGACCGGAGUGGACGCAUCACUGGUGUUCGGGUUGUCAUGCCAAUGGCACUGCCCGGUAGCUAAAUGCGGAAGAGAUAAGUGCUGAAAGCAUCUAAGCACGAAACUUGCCCCGAGAUGAGUUCUCCCUGAGACUUAGA